rnacentral:rRNA from 1 species
GAUGAACGCUAGCUACAGGCUUAACACAUGCAAGUCGAGGGGAAACGACAUCGAAAGCUUGCUUUUGAUGGGCGUCGACCGGCGCACGGGUGAGUAACGCGUAUCCAACCUGCCCACCACUUGGGGAUAACCUUGCGAAAGUAAGACUAAUACCCCAAUGAUAUCCAUAGAAGACAUCUGAAAUGGAUUAAAGAUUUAUCGGUGAUGGAUGGGGAUGCGUCUGAUUAGCUUGUUGCGGGGUAACGGCCCACCAAGGCGACGAUCAGUAGGGGUUCUGAGAGGAAGGUCCCCCACAUUGGAACUGAGACACGGUCCAAACUCCUACGGGAGGCAGCAGUGAGGAAUAUUGGUCAAUGGACGAGAGUCUGAACCAGCCAAGUAGCGUGCAGGACGACGGCCCUAUGGGUUGUAAACUGCUUUUAUAAGGGAAUAAAGUGAGCUACGUGUAGCUUUUUGCAUGUACCUUAUGAAUAAGGACCGGCUAAUUCCGUG